rnacentral:misc_RNA from 1 species
UCUAUUUUUUUUAAAACAAUUUGCCCAAAUUAAUAGGCAUCAAAUUAUGAUAAUAUAAUUUUGGUGGCAGUCAGAUUUACAAAAAAUAGAAUUUAUUUUCUCAAAUUCACUUCACCUCUUCUGUUACCCCUUUAGUAUAAUACAUUAAUUAUGACAAAAAUCAAUAAACAAAUUUAAAAAGGGAAGCAUGCAUAUAAACAUUUUUCACAUAUCAAACAAAAAAAAAUUUGGCCUUUAAACCGGGGGCCUAUUUGGUUCAGCCACAUUAUCUGAUCCACCCGGUCGAGCCGAAGUCCCUUCUCCGUC